rnacentral:lncRNA from 1 species
AGAGAGAGUAGCUUAAUGGUGUCUCUGUUCUUCAUCACAUACCAGAAAAAAAAAAGAAAUGUCUCAAAUGAUUCAUCAAAUCCACCUCAAAAACGAAGAUUCGAUCCAAAUCUCACCUGCUCCUGCUGCUCCUCCCCUCACCGCGAAUCACUCAUCUAAUCGAAUAAGCCCAAUCCUUCUCUUCAUCAUCGUUCUCCUCUCCGUCGUCUUCUUCAUCUGCAGCAUCCUACAUUUAACGGUCAAAUGUUACUUAAAGAAGAAAAGAUCGAGACUUUCUUCCUCCGCGGCGGAUUCCGAUCGAAACCCAGAACUCUCCGACUCCUCCGACACUUACCAGAGACAGCUCCAGCAGCUGUUCCAUCUCCACGACUCUGGUCUCGAUCAAGCCCUGAUCGAUGCCCUUCCCGUUUUCCUCUACAAAGAGAUCAAAGGCUCCAAAGAGCCGUUCGAUUGCGCGGUGUGUCUCUGCGAAUUCUCCGAAGACGAUAAGCUCAGGCUGCUUCCGAUUUGCAGCCACGCUUUCCACAUCGAUUGUAUCGACACGUGGCUGCUCUCGAACUCGACGUGUCCGCUCUGCAGAGGAACCCUUUAUCCGUUAGGGCACCAAUUCGAAAACCCGGAUUUCAAUUUCGGGUUUUUCGCCGGAGAAGAUGGAGAGAGGGCUUCUCCGGGGGAGAAACCGGCGGAGAGUGAUAUCAUGAGUGGGAAGAGAGUGUUCUCAGUGAGGCUUGGGAAGUUCAGGAGCAGUAAUAUUAAUGAAGGUGAAGGAGGAGGAGGAGGAGGAGGAGAGACAAGUGGGUGUGUGAGUGUGAACAGUAGUCUUGACAACAGGAGAUGUUUCUCAAUGGGGUCUUAUCAGUACAUAGUGGCUGAAUCAGAUCUGGUGGUUGCUUUGUGUCCUAAUAAUGAAGGUUCGAAGAAUGUGAAAGGAGAGAGUGAGAGUAAUGUUGAAGGGAAGAAGCUUAACAUGAGAAGCAAAGGUGAGAGCUUUUCUGUGUCAAAGAUUUGGCAAUGGUCUAAUAAAAGAUCAAAGUUUGCAAACCAAGCAGAAACCAAUCUAGUGGGUUCUUCUUCUGCAUCUUCCUCCUCUUAUGCUUGUUCCGGUAGUACAGUUGGUGCUGGAUUAUCAUUGAAUGGAAGGAGAUUUCAGGGGCCAUGAUAAGAGAUAAUGGGGUUAGGUACAGAUCAAGGUGUAGCUAAUUUUCUGCUGUUGAUUUAAUUAAAUCAUUGAUUUUGAGUUUUUUUUUUCUUUCUGAAAUUCAUUUUGUUAACACUAUAUACUGUAGUGGUGGUCUUUUUGUGUCUUUGUAGCUGAAUCUCUUUGUGUUUGUUAAGAGGAGAAUAAGCUUUGUUCUUUGAUUAAGUUUUAUGUGAUGCUUAUUUUAAUCCCCAACAAGUUCUAAUUAAAUUCUGUUCCGAGAUGGAACCUCAAAGAUUUGCACAAACUUUGAUGAUUUUGUUAGCUGUAUUUUGUCUUUAACGUCCAAACUUUUCAAACAAAAAGAAUAUCAUUUUUAUGGCAAAUCACAUAAAAAUGAAAUUGAAAUAAAAGAAGAGAAGUCAAAUUUUAUAUCUUCGGUGGGGUUUGAUACUUGUAAAGAGCAUCCAAAAAUGGGAUGGAAUCAUUAUUGGUAGGUAUAAAUAAUGAUGACCCUUAUUUGUUAUUAUGCUCCAAAAGAGCAUUCAAGAAAGAACACUCAUGAAGGUAUCAAUGAUCUCUCAAGUCACAGUUUGUCUUCAAAAUCAUAUCCGAGCACGUGACAUAAUUACAUUGGCCAGUAAAUUAGCAAAUAAAAUACAAAAUCUUUUUGUGCAAAGACGAAGCUGUAACUAGAAAUACAUCAUGUGGGCAAUCAAAUCUCUUUAAAAGUUUUAUACACGAGACAAACUUGUGUGCUUCCUCCAUCACUUUCUGACUCAAAAACAUAUGAAAUUUUGUUCAAAAAGAAACAUGAAGAAUCUCAAAUCCCAAACAAAGCCAAAGUUUCAGGAAACGGAUGAAAAAAGUAGGAAGAUAAAAGCUGAUUUUGUUGCGUCAGCUGCUCGGGUAAGACAUAUCUUUCUUUCUUUUUUUUUUUUUGGAAUAGGGAUGAUAAUAAAUACUCAAAGUUCCUUAUGCUGAAAAUACAAUCAGCCUCACAACCCACGAGGGAAGUUGUUGAUCUGUCCUUCCUCCAAUACAUCUUUUCCGUUCAAUUUGUACCCAAUCCUCAUGCGCAUCACAAGAGAUUUCUGCCAUAUAAACAUUAAAGUAAUUUAGUGUUAAGUCACUUAAUCCAGAGGUCAACCAAUCUUUAUAUGAGCAUAUACUGAGUUCUUGAUCAUAGACAAAAAAAAGGAAGCUGAACAGAGAAAGUGUUUAUACCUUGCCGUGCUGGCUGUUAGUGACUCUCAGAUUCUGCGUGAUGUUACCGCUUGCCGGGAGUGUGUUACUGCUUGCUGGAUCCAAGUGCAGCUGGAGGAACUGGAGAUUAAAAGAACGAAAGACAAUGUUAAAGAAAAUUUUGAAAACUGGAUGAUAAGGGAGAGAAAAAAGAAAACUGAAAUGACCUUUGGAACAGCAGCCUGGAAGAUAAAAUCUGUGAAAGUAUUAGGAGAUAGAUUUAUAAAAGUGGCCUGGACAUUUGUUUCUUGUGGGUUCCCUGAUGGCUUUGAGAAUGUGAACUCAAUCUUCAAGGUGCUGCUCUCGUAUGCAACAAUAGGUGGAUAUGCUGGACCAUUGGUUGCUGCAAUCAAGGAGGAAAGCAAAGUUAUUCAUCUUUUAAAAGAGUUUCAAUGAUUUGUAUAGAUUUUGUUUCAGUGAUUACAUAAUAGACUUUUUUCUUACCUUCCUUCGAUGGGCUUGGAGAAAGACCAUCUAACAAAUCGAACAUACCACCAGCAGAGGCAGUCGUUGCUAUGUGAGGUGGAGCUGGUGAAGAAAGUGUGUCUAGCGCAUUAGAAGGAUUGUUGUUAAUGCCAGCUGUUGAUAACAAAUCAAUUGAUGAUGUGUUGUUUUGUGCCGGAGAAGGUGUCCCAAUUGAUAAAAUAUCCAUCAACAGAUCUGCACCGGCUUUUGGACCCGGGGUUGCACCUGAAACAUUGCAAUGCCAUAGAGGAAAAGAUUGCUCAUUCGAGACAAUAUCAUAGCUGAGUACACCAUAAAAUGAAAAAAAAACAGUUGUAGAGACGCCAAAGAACUAACCAGAUUGUGCUGACGAUGAUCCUAAGUCAACACCCAGAAGAUCCUGAAGGAAAUCUGCACCAGAUGAACUAGGUGCAGCCAUGAUAUCGUCAGAACCCAGGUCCAGUAAAUCCACUAGUGGAGCUGCAGCAACACCAUUUGGAAUACUAACUGAAGGUUUGGCCAUUGUUGAAACUGACGCAGGCAAAGAGCCAGCCCUCCUCACAUUGAAGGUAGCCUCAUCUAGCACCGGCAUUCUCUCAACCAGAGAAGACCUAUAUGCAUAGAGACCUCGUUUUCAUGAGAUUUGAGGGGGUAAGUGAUUAAUCAUUUAACUAAGCCUUAACCAACACAACUACUAUAUUUUUCCCUUGCAUGUUUUAAGCUAAUGAUGGAAGGCGCUCUCUCUAGUUGUGCCAAAUCUCUUUAUCAAUCAUUCCUCCUACGUUUUGACUGUGAAUUCGAUUUUAAAAUUUUAUUGAGCUCCAUGGAAAAAUAUAAUCAUAAAUUGAGGGGGUUUAUGGUUAAAUCUGAGAGAGAGUAGCUUAAUGGUGUCUCUGUUCUUCAUCACAUACCAGAAAAAAAAAAGAAAUGUCUCAAAUGAUUCAUCAAAUCCACCUCAAAAACGAAGAUUCGAUCCAAAUCUCACCUGCUCCUGCUGCUCCUCCCCUCACCGCGAAUCACUCAUCUAAUCGAAUAAGCCCAAUCCUUCUCUUCAUCAUCGUUCUCCUCUCCGUCGUCUUCUUCAUCUGCAGCAUCCUACAUUUAACGGUCAAAUGUUACUUAAAGAAGAAAAG